UACAGAGGUGGCAAGCGUUGCUCGGAAUCACUGGGCGUAAAGGGUGCGUAGGCGGGUCUUUAAGUCAGGGGUGAAAUCCUGGAGCUCAACUCCAGAACUGCCUUUGAUACUGAAGAUCUUGAGUUCGGGAGAGGUGAGUGGAACUGCGAGUGUAGAGGUGAAAUUCGUAGAUAUUCGCAAGAACACCAGUGGCGAAGGCGGCUCACUGGCCCGAUACUGACGCUGAGGCACGAAAGCGUGGGGAGCGAACAGG
rnacentral:rRNA from 1 species